GAAGGAGAGCAGCGAGAUGGGGCAGAGGCGCGUGGGGAGUGGAGAGCCGCCCAGCUCGUGAGCGGCGUGGAGCCGGGGAUGGGGGAGUUUGCGCCUUCUGAGCAGAGGGGUCGAGGGGACCCAGCAGGAUCUGAAGGAUGGAGGAAGGGGGCUGGAUUUUACUCAACCCGCGACAUGAGGUGCAGGCCUGGGAUGUCACCUGAAGGUGUCAGGCAGUCUGGGAUUCUCGUCCUCGUCUGUGCUGUCAAGUCAAUGUCCGGGUGGAGCGCUACGUGCCCUCCGCGGCCCCAGGCUCCAGCCAGGUCCUCGGCCAGGCCCUCCCUCUAUGAAAUGCAGAGGAACAGCCUCAAGAAGACUCCCUGAUGCUCCAAUCAGGUCCUCUUCAGACGUGAGCUGCUGUAGCAGAUGUUAAUGAACAUCAUACCCUGGCAAGUGGGAGGGGAAAG